rnacentral:rRNA from 1 species
UGAAGAGUUUGAUCCUGGCUCAGAUUGAACGCUGGUGGCAUGCUUAACACAUGCAAGUCGAACGGUAACAGGAGAAGCUUGCUUCUUGCUGACGAGUGGCGGACGGGUGAGUAACGCGUAGGAAUCUGCCCAUUUGUGGGGGAUACCAGUUGGAAACGACUGUUAAUACCGCAUACUAUCUGAGGAUUAAAGGUGGCCUUUGUGCUGCCGCAGAUGGAUGAGCCUGCGUUAGAUUAGCUUGUUGGUGGGGUAAAGGCCUACCAAGGCUACGAUCUAUAGCUGAUUUGAGAGGAUGAUCAGCCACAUUGGGACUGAGACACGGCCCAAACUCCUACGGGAGGCAGCAGUGGGGAAUAUUGGACAAUGGAGGAAACUCUGAUCCAGCAAUGCCAUGUGUGUGAAGAAGGCUCUAGGGUUGUAAAGCACUUUAGUUGGGGAGGAAAGCUUAUGAGUUAAUAGCUCAUGAGAAGGACGUUACCCAAAGAAUAAGGACCGGCUAACUCCGUGCCAGCAGCCGCGGUAAUACGGGGGGUCCGAGCGUUAAUCGGAAUUACUGGGCGUAAAGGGUCUGUAGGUGGUUUGUUAAGUCAGAUGUGAAAGCCCAGGGCUCAACCUUGGAACUGCAUUUGAUACUGGCAAACUAGAGUAUGGUAGAGGAAUGGGGAAUUUCUGGUGUAGCGGUGAAAUGCGUAGAGAUCAGAAGGAACACCAAUGGCGAAGGCAACAUUCUGGACCAAUACUGACACUGAGGGACGAAAGCGUGGGGAUCAAACAGGAUUAGAUACCCUGGUAGUCCACGCUGUAAACGAUGAGUACUAGCUGUUGGAUUCGGUGUAAAGGAUCUAGUGGCGUAGCUAACGCGUUAAGUACUCCGCCUGGGGACUACGGCCGCAAGGCUAAAACUCAAAGGAAUUGACGGGGGACCCGCACAAGCGGUGGAGCAUGUGGUUUAAUUCGAUGCAACGCGAAGAACCUUACCUGGUCUUGACAUCCUGCGAACUUUCUAGAGAUAGAUUGGUGCCUUCGGGAACGCAGUGACAGGUGCUGCACGGCUGUCGUCAGCUCGUGUUGUGAAAUGUUGGGUUAAGUCCCGCAACGAGCGCAACCCCUAUUGAUAGUUACCAUCAUUAAGUUGGGUACUCUAUUGAGACUGCCGCUGACAAGGCGGAGGAAGGUGGGGACGACGUCAAGUCAUCAUGGCCCUUACGACCAGGGCUACACACGUGCUACAAUGGGUAUUACAGAGGGCAGCGAAGUAGCGAUAUGGAGCGAAACUCAGAAAGGUACUCUUAGUCCGGAUUGCAGUCUGCAACUCGACUGCAUGAAGUCGGAAUCGCUAGUAAUCGCAGGUCAGAAUACUGCGGUGAAUACGUUCCCGGGUCUUGUACACACCGCCCGUCACACCAUGGGAGUGGGUUGCUCCAGAAGUAGAUAGCUUAACGAAUGGGCGUUUACCACGGAGUGAUUCAUGACUGGGGGUGAAGUCGUAACAAGGUAGCCGUAGGGGGAACCUGCGGCUGGAUCACCUCCUU